UCUGUCUUUAGUCCAAAAUGC
rnacentral:piRNA from 1 species